ensembl:misc_RNA Metazoa_SRP Metazoan signal recognition particle RNA
GCUAAUAAAACUAGGGUUCGGCAGUCCCAGGUACUCAGGAGGCUGAGGUGGGAGGAUCGAUGGGGCCCAGGGGUGCACUAUGACGAUCAGGUGUCUGAACAAAUUUUAGCAGCAAAUAGUGAUCUCUCCAAGCGGAGGACCACCAGGUUGCUUAAGGAAGAGUGAACUAGCCCAGCUCCCAAAUGAAGCAGGUGAAGACUCCCAUGCUGAUCAGCAGUGGGACUGUGCCUGUAGCCACUGCACUCCAGCCUGGGCAACAGAGUGAGAACUUGCCUCU